UUGCUCACUUCGGCAAGCACAUAUACUAAAAUUGGAACAAUACAGAGAAGAUUCGCAUGGCCCCUGCGCAAGGAUGACGCGCAAAUUCGUGAAGCUUUAAAAAAAAUUUUU